CCUACGGGAGGCAGCAGUGAGGAAUUUUGCGCAAUGGGGGAAACCCUGACGCANGCAACGCCGCGUGAGUGAUGAAGGCCUUCGGGUCGUAAAGCUCUGUCAANGUGGGAAGAACCCAUCCCGGCCCAACAGGUUGGGGUGCUGACGGUACCACUGAAGGAAGCACCGGCUAACUCCGUGCCAGCAGCCGCGGUAAU
rnacentral:rRNA from 1 species